AGUGAACGCUGGCGGUAGGCCUAACACAUGCAAGUCGAACGGCAGCACAGUAAGAGCUUGCUCUUACGGGUGGCGAGUGGCGGACGGGUGAGGAAUACAUCGGAAUCUACUUUUUCGUGGGGGAUAACGUAGGGAAACUUACGCUAAUACCGCAUACGACCUACGGGUGAAAGCAGGGGAUCUUCGGACCUUGCGCGAUUGAAUGAGCCGAUGUCGGAUUAGCUAGUUGGCGGGGUAAAGGCCCACCAAGGCGACGAUCCGUAGCUGGUCUGAGAGGAUGAUCAGCCACACUGGAAAUGAGACACGGUCCAGGCUCCGACGGGAGGCAGCAGGGGGGAAUAUUGGACAAUGGGCGCAAGCCUGAUCCAGCCAUACCGCGUGGGUGAAGAAGGCCUUCGGGUUGUAAAGCCCUUUUGUUGGGAAAGAAAAGCAGCAGGUUAAUACCCCGCUGUUCUGACGGUACCCAAAGAAUAAGCACCGGCUAACUGCGU
rnacentral:rRNA from 1 species